AUGGCGAUUUACCGAGGGGCAUGGAAAUAUGCGGUAAUCAUGGGAAAUCUUGAAAUUUUGACUGGUAACCAAAACAGUGAUAAGAUAUUCCGAACAGAACUGCUGACAUUUGAAGGAUUGAUUCGAUUCAUCAUGCCUAAACCAGAGGAGAUCAAGAUCCAAGCAAAAAAUAUCGAUGCUGCAGCAGGAGAGAUGAUUGGCGUUUUGGAGGGUACAAGCAAAGGAAAUGUUAUCCUCGUCCAUGGUUGGCAUGGAUUUGGGGCAUCAGCGGCACUGAAGGUACUAGCACAACGUAUGAAAUCAUCAAAAUCAAAGUUUGACAGGGUUAUCCAUGUCGAUUGCUCAGUGUGGAAAAGCAUGAGGGCUCUGCAAAAGGCAGUCGCAGAGGAGCUGGAGCUUCCACCGUCGGUGAUGGCCAUCUUCGAUUGGUGCGAUGAGGAGGAUGAUUUUAGUGGGAUAGAUGAAGGGUCUCGAGGGGUCAUAGCAGAUAUGAGAUCAGAAAUCUUCAGAAAUCUCAUUAGUAGCAGAUUUGUGGUGAUAUUUCACAAUGGGAGCAUGAAAUACAUUGAUCUGUACGAGUCUUGUGGUGCCCCAGCAAUAUCAGUUUUGAGUAAUAAGGUGUUGUGGACCUGGCACGGGAGGUUUCAAUCCAAAUACAUAGAUUUCGAGGAACGUGAAAAGAUGGAGCUGCAUACUGAUGUUGUUGUCAAUUAUUCUCAUGACGAUUGCAUCCGUGACGAAGCAUUAUUGGAAGAGGCCAAGGAGAUUGUCGCUUAUAUGGGUAUUUCAGAGCCUGACAUGAACCAUAUGAUUGUUGAGAAGUGCUUCCAGUACGCCUGUGCAUUGGGAUCUCGAUCUCCCGGGUUCAAGUGGGUGAACUGGGAGAACCAUGCUUCAAUCUACUUGGUAUGCGAUGGGAUUAUACAAGGGCAAGGCGAUACAUCAGCAUGGGUAAUUGCCGAUGCUCUACAGAGAAACAUGUCUAUGGAUUGGCUUCGUUUCCGCACUGAUGAUGACGUUCUUCGUCGUCACCUGCUUCAUGACCGCUGGGACCUGCGACCUGGUGAGGUUGGCAUAGUGCUUUCUGAAGUGACAUCCUUCUUCGCCGUACCAGAUACUACAUACCUUGUCCGAACGGCGACAUUACAAAAUGGAAUAUUCCAACAUUCGCACAGCAGCAAGCUGCGUGUGUUACAUCUCUCUCAUUGCAGAUUCAGUUUUGAAUCGCCUCCCUUCCUGUGUUGCAGCCAGCUAAGACUCCUCCAGCUGAACAACUGCAGAAAUAUCCCAUCUGAUAAGCAUCCAAGCCACAACGAAGACAUGUCAUGCUUCCAGAAGCUAUGGGUGCUGCACCUGAGGUCUACAAGCUGGUAUCGAUUACUAUCAGCAGAGAUGAAGAACUUUAUGGCUGACCUCAGGGAGUUGACUGUAGAAGAAGUCAAGGAUUGGAGCAUAAGUGAUUUACGUGGCAGGGGACCUUCCCUUGUCAAGGUCCACGUAGAGGAACAAGGCUGCUACUUACCAACCAAGGACCACAACUUGCCUGACCUAUCUAGCGCAAGCUUCCUUAAGACAGUCAUCCUUAUCAAUUGUGUUCAUGUGGAACAGGUUGUCCCCGGCAUGAUGCCCCCAUCGGUUGAGUCAUUCACCUUCUUGCGUGAUUCUUAUACUCAUCAUGACUACCCUAGGAUAUCUAGAAUUUCCUUCCGGGGUUGUUCUCAGUUGAAGAGUAUACUAUGGCAAGGAGAUCUAGAGAAACUCGAGGAGCUGGACCUCUCAGGCACAGCAGUGAAAACCCUCGACCUCAGAGAGUUGGAAAUUAACAAUAUCAAAUCCCUCAUCUUGUUGGGCUGUGAGAAGCUUUAUGCAAUAUUAUGGCCGCCGAAAAACAAAAGGACAAAGGUUUUGGAGGUGCUGCACACCAGCACCAUACAAUCUACAUCACCUGGCCAAGCUAGUUUGGAAGAAAAACCCCAGAAACCUAUUGCAGCUAUGGGAUCAUCAUCUAGUCCUGUUGCUACUGCUAAAGAACAGGGCAUCCGUCGAUAUGCGUCCUUUGACUUUAAGUGGUAUAUCUGCACAAGGGAUACAAGGAUCCUUAGGUCGCUUGAACCGGUUAAAAGAUAUAUUGAGCACAGUCAUGUAUAUAUGGAAAUGGGUUCAUCUCCUACAACUGCUGCUACUGUUGGUGACGGUGAAGCUGCUCAAGGAAUCCGGAGUCUGCGCAAGCCUGAUAAUUAUUUAUAUGCAAGGGAUCUCUUCUGUCAGAGCGACCUACAGGCUGGCGCUGAUAAUGAAGGUGCAAUCAGCUGGAUGUGGGAUUGCCCAGCUAGUCCUACUCCAAGGGCCCAAGACUUGUAUCUUCACAUACAUGAUAAGCAGGAGUUAACAAUGCUCGCAUGCUUCACCUGCAUGAUAGCUCAUCCGUCAUUUGCAUCAGAUGCCCACAACCACAAGGUUCAUGCUGGAGGUGGCUUGAAUGGUGCCGAGUCGAGAGUACUAUUGCACCUGGACUAUUGCCCUAGGCUCAUACAUGCGCUACCCUUGUCCGAGUCUGUGGACACUUUGCCUCAUUUGGAUACCCUGGAGAUUGUGUGUUGCGGUGAUCUAAGGGAGGUUUUCGCUUUGGACACUAAGCAAAAGCAGCAGAGAAUUAUAGGAUGCCCCAAGCUAAGGCGCAUUCACCUGUAUGAGCUCCCCAGCCUGCAGCACAUCAGUGGGAGCAGGAUGUCCGCGCCCAACUUGGAGACCGUCAAGAUCAGGGGCUGCUGGAGCCUCAGGAGCCUACCAGCCGUCAGCAGAAACAAUGAGAAGCUGCCUAGUGUGGACUGCGAGAAGGAUUGGUGGGAUAACCUGGAGUGGGAUGGGGUGGAAGCGAACCACCAUCCUUCACUCUAUGAGCAUAACCACUCGUCAUACUACAAGGCCCAACAACAAAGAGGCACCGUACUAAGUAAACCAAUCAUCUCACUGGCGAUUUGUUUUUGCUGCACCUUAGGUAAUCAGUUCCUUCCAUGGGACAUGAACGUUGAUCCUGUCAUCCUGUGGUGCUCCCUACGCAGCGGAUCCAAGGUGCCGAGCCUCUGCAGCAGCUUCAUGGAUCUGCAUUGCCAUGGUUUGGCGGUGCCACCCUCAGAGUUUGGUUUGAUGAUGCAUGUUGCAAGCUUUGAGCGAGAUGGAGAAAUAAAUGAGAGUGCAUUCAGCCUGGGCAGUAUGAGCAACCCGCCUGCUCAUGUUGCUUACAUACAUGCAUGCUACUCCUCUGGCCGAUCCAGGCCAAAUGUUGCUGGAGGUGGGGGAGGCGAGCCGGCGGUGUCGGUUAGGCGGAGGUGGCUUGAAAUCAAGGAGGCGAUGCAUCAGGCGAGAGAACAGAGAAGUCUCUCUCUGCGCGCGGCCGUCUCCCGGGGGCGCUGGCUCCACAGCAGCGGACCGGAGCUCGACCCGCCAAUGUGGACUGCUCUGGCAGUGUGGAGUGCGGAAGUGAAGGCUUGUUGGCACACGCCCCGUCUUGCAACUAUACCUGUGCCUGUUCCAUUAGCAUAUGGAUGUACAUGUGAAGUGACAAGCCUGUCAGACAGACUAUGA
rnacentral:rRNA from 1 species